rnacentral:rRNA from 1 species
GGAGGGUGCGAGCGUUGUUCGGAAUCAUUGGGCGUAAAGCGCGUGUAGGCGGCUUGGUAAGUCGGGUGUGAAAGCCCGGGGCCCAACCCCGGAAUUGCACUCGAUACUGUCUCGCUAGAGUCCCGGAGAGGAGAGCGGAAUUCCCGGUGUAGAGGUGAAAUUCGUAGAUAUCGGGAGGAACACCAGCGGCGAAGGCGGCUCUCUGGACGGUGACUGACGCUGAGACGCGAAAGCGUGGGGAGCAAACAGGAUUAGAUACCCUGGUAGUCCACGCCGUAAACUUUGGGUGCUAGGUGUCGCGGGUAUUGACCCCCCUGCGGUGCCGCAGCUAACGCAUUAAGCACCCCGCCUGGGGAGUACGGUCGCAAGGCUA